rnacentral:rRNA from 1 species
GCAGCCAAAGCUCAAAUUUGAAAGCUCCUAACAAGGCGCAUUGUAAUUUGAAGAUGGUAUUCCGAGUUAGUCCUUUACCUCAGUUCCUUGGAACAGGACGCCAUAGAGGGUGAGAGCCCCGUGUGGUAUUGGUAGCUUUCUCAUGUGGUUUACCUUCGAAGAGUCGAGUUGUUUGGGAAUGCAGCUCUAAGUGGGUGGUAAAUUCCAUCUAAAGCUAAAUAUUGGCGAGAGACCGAUAGCGAACAAGUACUGUGAAGGAAAGAUGAAAAGAACUUUGAAAAGAGAGUGAAAAAGUACGUGAAAUUGUUGAAAGGGAAGGGAAUUGGACUAGACUUGGAUUUCUGUUAUCAGCAGUCUUUCGGGGCUGUGCACUAGCAGUUUUCUAGGCCAGGAUCUGUUUGGAGGCCAGGAUAAAACCCAAAGAAUGUGGCUCUUCGGAGUGUUAUAGCUUUGGUUGAAUACUGGCAUUCUGGACAGAGGACCGCGCU